ensembl:lncRNA
UGCUGCAAAUUGAAUUUUAUAGACUGCUACAGACUCAGUGGCAACAUGGGCAUAUUUGGAGGAGGAAAAUCCAAGUACACCCCCCCAGUUAAGGAGUGUAUCUGUGUGUGUGUGUUGUUCGCUCACUGUGGCGGUGUGUGUAUUGGUCACUUAGUUGUGUCAGACUCUUUGCCACCCCAUGGACUGUAGCCCGCUAGGUUCUUCUGUCCAUGGGAUUCUCCAGGAAAGAAUACUGGAGUGGCUUGCCAUGCCCUUCUCCAGGGGAUCUUUCUGACCCAGGGAUGGAAGCUGUUUCCUGCCUUGGCAGGCAGGUUCUUUACCACUAUCACCACUAUGAGAAGCCCAACCUUUACCUGAG